rnacentral:rRNA from 1 species
AUUGAACGCUGGCGGAAUGCUUUACACAUGCAAGUCGAACGGCAGCACGGGUGCUUGCACCUGGUGGCGAGUGGCGAACGGGUGAGUAAUACAUCGGAACGUACCCAGUCGUGGGGGAUAACGUAGCGAAAGUUACGCUAAUACCGCAUACGUCCUGAGGGAGAAAGCGGGGGACCGUAAGGCCUCGCGCGAUUGGAGCGGCCGAUGGCGGAUUAGCUAGUUGGUGGGGUAAAGGCCUACCAAGGCGACGAUCCGUAGCGGGUCUGAGAGGACGGCCCGCCACACUGGAACUGAGACACGGUCCAGGCUCCUACGGGAGGCAGCAGUGGGGAAUUUUGGACAAUGGGCGAACGCCUGAUCCAGCCAUUCCGCGUGAGUGAAGAAGGCCUUCGGGUUGUAAAGCUCUUUCGGCAGGGAAGAAACGGCUUGGGAUAAUACCCCGGGCUAAUGACGGUACCUGAAGAAGAAGCACCGGCUAACUACGUGCCAGCAGCCGCCGUAA